rnacentral:rRNA from 1 species
UACGAAGGGGGCUAGCGUUGCUCGGAAUCACUGGGCGUAAAGGGUGCGUAGGCGGGUCUUUAAGUCAGGGGUGAAAUCCUGGAGCUCAACUCCAGAACUGCCUUUGAUACUGAAGACCUUGAGUCCGGGAGAGGUGAGUGGAACUGCGAGUGUAGAGGUGAAAUUCGUAGAUAUUCGCAAGAACACCAGUGGCGAAGGCGGCUCACUGGCCCGGUACUGACGCUGAGGCACGAAAGCGUGGGGAGCAAACAGG